UACGAAGGGAGGUAGCGUUGUUCGGAAUCACUGGGCGUAAAGCGCACGUAGGCGGAUUUGUUAGUCAGGGGUGAAAUCCCGGGGCUCAACCUCGGAACUGCCUUUGAUACUGCAAAUCUCGAGUCCGGAAGAGGUGGGUGGAAUUCCUAGUGUAGAGGUGAAAUUCGUAGAUAUUAGGAAGAACACCGGUGGCGAAGGCGGCCCACUGGUCCGGUACUGACGCUGAGGUGCGAAAGCGUGGGGAGCAAACAGG
rnacentral:rRNA from 1 species